UACCAGCACCCCGAGUGGUCGGGACGAUUAUUGGGCCUAAAGCAUCCGUAGCCGGUUCUGCAAGUCCCCCGUUAAAUCCAGCUGCUCAACAGAUGGGCCGCGGAGGAUACUACAGAGCUAGGAGGCAGGAGAGGCAAGCGGUACUCAGUGGGGUAGGGGUAAAAUCCGUUGAUCCAUUGAAGACCACCAGUGGCGAAGGCGGCUUGCCAGAAUGCGCUCGACGGUGAGGGAUGAAAGCUGGGGGAGCAAACCGG
rnacentral:rRNA from 1 species